GACGUGACUUCAGAGUUUGAUCCUGGCUCAGGAUGAACGCUGGCGGCGUGCCUAACACAUGCAAGUCGAGCGAGAAUUCUUAAAAGAUUCUUCGGAUGAUUUUUAAGAAGGAAAGCGGCGGAACGGGUGAGUAACGCGUAGGCAACCUGCCCUUUGCAGAGGGAUAGCCUCGGGAAACCGGGAUUAAAACCUCAUAAUGCCAAGGAAAGACAUCUUUUCAUGGCCAAAGAUUUAUCGGCAAAGGAUGGGCCUGCGUCUGAUUAGCUAGUUGGUGGGGUAACGGCCUACCAAGGCAACGAUCAGUAGCCGACCUGAGAGGGUGAUCGGCCACAUUGGAACUGAGACACGGUCCAA
rnacentral:rRNA from 1 species